rnacentral:rRNA from 1 species
CGGCGAGUGANCGGCAAGAGCUCAAAUUUGAAAGCUGGCUCCUUCGGGGUCCGCAUUGUAAUUUGCAGAGGAUGCUUCGGGAGUGGCCCCCAUCUAAGUGCCCUGGAACGGGCCGUCAUAGAGGGUGAGAAUCCCGUCUGGGAUGGGGUGUCCACGCCCGUGUGAAGCUCCUUCGACGAGUCGAGUUGUUUGGGAAUGCAGCUCUAAAUGGGUGGUAAAUUUCAUCUAAAGCUAAAUACUGGCCGGAGACCGAUAGCGCACAAGUAGAGUGAUCGAAAGAUGAAAAGCACUUUGAAAAGAGAGUUAAACAGCACGUGAAAUUGUUGAAAGGGAAGCGCUUGCGACCAGACUCGCCCACGGGGUUCAGCCGGCAUUCGUGCCGGUGUACUUCCCCGCGGGCGGGCCAGCGUCGGUUUGGGCGGCCGGUCAAAGGCCCUCGGAAUGUAACGCCCCCCGGGGCGUCUUAUAGCCGAGGGUGCCAUGCGGCCAGCCCGGACCGAGGAACGCGCUUCGGCUCGGACGCUGGCAUAAUGGUCGUAAGCGACCCGUC